AGGGGCGGAAGGUAGCAGCGGCGAUUUGGA
rnacentral:SRP_RNA from 1 species